GACUCAUUAGCUCAGUUGGUAGAGCACCUGACUCUUAAUCAGGGUGUCCCGGGUUCGAGCCCCGGAUGGGUCACCA
rnacentral:tRNA from 6 species